UACGUAGGGACCGAGCGUUGUCCGGAUCCAUUGGGCGUAAAGAGCUCGUAGGCGGCUGCUCAAGUCGAAUGUGAAAACUCGAGGCUCAACCUCGAGCCUGCAUUCGAUACUGGGCGGCUAGAGUCUGGUAGGGGGAUCUGGAAUUCCUGGUGUAGCGGUGGAAUGCGCAGAUAUCAGGAGGAACACCGGUGGCGAAGGCGGGAUCCUGAGCCAGUACUGACGCUGAGGAGCGAAAGCGUGGGGAGCGAACAGG
rnacentral:rRNA from 1 species